UCCCAUUUCAAAUCAUUUAAUCAAAGGUUGUUACUUUGAGACUGCAUGAAUUAAGUUUCGAAAUGUAAUACUAUUACUGCACCACUAAACCCUAAAUUUAGACAAGCCCAAGCUUGCCAAAUUCUAAUAUCUUCUCUCAACAAGGAAAACCCUAAACCUUUCUUCUCCUUCUCUCUCUCUCUCUCUCUCUCUCACAGCCCACAUGUUAACUAUUUCAAGCAUGAAGUCUCUUAUUGCCCCACCAUUUACACACACACCUUUGUCCCUUUACCUCACCAAGGCCUCACCUUUUGCCACAAACUCUAAUUUUUGUAACCCCACAACUCUUCAAACCCUACGAUUUAUCCACUCUAUAUCUAAACCCACAAUGGCUUCCCCUAAAUUAAUUGUUCGAAAUCGAAGCUUGCUAACGAAGACAUCUAAUUCCUCCUCAUCAUCAGGUGAGAUUCACGUCAUUGUGGGACCCAUGUUCGCUGGCAAAACUACCACGCUUCUGCGAAGGAUACAAGCUGAAACCGAGAAGGGCAGCUUUCAGGUUGACUCUUGUAAGAAAUUUCUCCAUUUGGAUAAAACCUUAAAAGGCCUCUGUUUUUCGGGAAGGUUAAGUGAAGCUAUUGGGCUUUUAUGGCGAACUGGGGUGAAAGUGGAACCGGGGACAUAUUCUCUUUUGUUGCAAGAGUGCAUAUUCAUGAAAGAAUAUAGAAACGGGAGAAGAAUUCAUGCACAAAUGGCUAUUCUUGGGUAUGUUCCCAAUGAGUAUUUGACAAAUAAAUUGUUGAUAUUGUAUGCAAAAUCAGGGAAUCUGGUAACUGCUCGUGUUCUGUUUGAUAAGUUGCAGGAGAAAAGUUUGAUAUCUUGGAAUGCUAUGAUUACAGGGCAUGUGCAAAAGGGGCUUGAAGAAGUUGGACUGGAGUUUUAUUAUAAGAUGAGAAAAGAGGGUUUGACACCUGACCAAUAUACCUUUGCAUCAGUGUUCAGAGCCUGUGCCACUUUGGCCACAUUGGAGCAUGGGAAGCGAGCCCAUGGUGUCAUGAUAAAGUGUAAUGUUGGGGAAAAUGUUGUAGCCAAUAGUGCCCUUAUAGAUAUGUACUUUAAAUGCAGCAGUGUUUUUUAUGGUCAUCUAAUAUUUGAUAAAUUAUUAAAUAGAAAUGUUGUCACCUGGACUGCAUUGAUUUCUGGGUAUGGCCAGCAUGGGAAAGUAAUAGAGGUUCUGGAAUCAUUUCAGAGGAUGAUAGAUGAAGGUUUCAGACCAAAUUAUAUUACUUUUCUUGCUGUGCUUUCUGCUUGCAGCCAUGGAGGUUUAGUUAGUAAAGGCUGGUAUUAUUUCUCAUGCAUGAUGAGGGAUUAUGGAAUCCAACCUAGAGGGAAACAUUAUGCAGCCAUGGUUGACCUGUUAGGGCGGGCUGGGAAGUUGCAAGAGGCUUAUGAGUUUGUUCUGAGGUCACCCUGCAAGGAGCAUUCUGUAAUCUGGGGUGCUUUGCUUGGAGCAUGUAGAAUUCAUGGAGAUAUGAACCUGGUGAAGCUUGCAGCAACAAAGUACUUUGAAUUGGAUCCAGAAAAUGCCGGUAAGUACGUGGUAUUGGCUAAUACAUUUGCCACAGUUGGGUCCUGGGACAAUGUAGCAGAUGUUAGGGGGAAGAUGAGAGAUAUAGGGGUGAUGAAGGAGCCUGGUUAUAGUAGGAUCGAAGUUCGAGGAGUGGCCCACUUCUUCCUUAUGGGUGAUAAAUCUCAUAGAUAUUCUGAGGAGAUCUGUAAAAUGACUCAGGAAAUGACUUGUACUUUAAAGGAUGCAGGCUAUGUUCCUGAUUUACGUGGCAACUAGUUCAGAAGUGUAGCAGUAAUAAAAUCCAACAAGGACACAAGAUAUGGAUUGGAUUCUAUAGUUACACAUGAUGGAGUGAAAUUGCCAUGUUCUGCACUGGCAAAUUUGUCAUCGUUCAAACAAAAAUUUGGUUCUGAUGCUUAUGAUAAGCUAGAUGUGAUUGGCAUUGACGAGGCUCAAUUCUUUGAGGACCUUUAUGAUUUCUGUCGUGAAGCUGCUGAUCAUGAUGGAAAAAUUGUGGUAGUUGCUGGACUGGAUGGUGACUAUUUGAGGAGGAGCUUUGGUUCUGUGCUUGAUAUAAUUCCCCUGGCUG